GUAAAAUAAACAUAUGCAUUGUCUCUCACAGGCUGCAACUUUUGAAAAGCAUCCACCUGCUGAUUCCCUCCCUCUGGACGCUGGUUUAACUGGACUCCCUCAAACGAGGCAAUCCUUCAGGUCUGGCACAAAGACACAAGAGCACUAGGCAGCAGAAGGAGCAAGAAAUAGCGAGAGAGCUGGCAGAGAAGCUGUUUAGCUGCCUGCAGAGCGAGCACAACCGUGACUGCUUCCAACUGCCGGCACAUGUUGGACUGGAGUCAGAAGGACCUCUAGUGAACUCCAGGAAGCGUAGCAGCAGCAUCCCACCAAAGGGACAGGAAAACACUUAUCCAGCUGUAUCAUGCAAGUUAAGUUCUAUAAAUAUCUGCAGAAGUUAUUUAAUAGUCCAUAUAAAUGAACAUUUUCUUUAGAAUAGGUUUUUGAUAAACAAAGCAUUUAGAUCGACUUACCAAUGACAGGGUAUACCUGUGUCCAAGAAUGCACCAUUUUAGGCUGCCUAUGGAGACUCACAUGAAUGAAUAUUUACACACACAAAAAAGUGGAGGAGCAUUCAGUUAACUGAUCCCCACCUACCCACUGCAGUCUUAAGUGGAACAGUCCAGAAACAGGUUUAACACUUCAGAGAGAACACGUCUUCUGUAAUUCAAGUUUACAAAAGUGUAUCAUAGAGCUAUUAUGUCAAGGUUAAGUAUCUUAAAAAUGUUACCAAGUUCCCUCACACUUUCUCUCCCUAAUUACCUUCUGGUGGAUUCUAGUCUAAAUAAAUUGUAUUUCUGAGGAGAUGGGAUUCAAAAUAAUUUUGGGCCUCUAGCUAGUAAUGUUUAAUUCAAUCACUAUAUGGCUUCAGAUCUUACAGUAAUGAAGAGUGACAUCCAAAGAGAAAGCCACACAUCUAUUUCCCAUUUAGAUGUGGGUGUCCAAUGUGAGUAUAGAGCAUGCAUCUCAUCAUGGGGAGACGCAUGGGUUUCCCUCUUUGCAUGUUAUGCCAGAACUGCAGAAAGAGGAUGCUGGAGCCACUUGCACUUCUGCUUUCCCUAUAAGAUCUUUAUGUCACUGUUAUGACAAAAGGAAGUGUUUUACUUGUACGGUCUCUACGUAAUCAAGCCUUUAGCUGCCAAGAUUCUGAGAAUAUAACCAUGAAUACAAGAUUCUGAUAAUAUAAUAAUAAUAUAAUCUUUAGCAUCAAGUAACGAAUAAAUUAUAGGAAGAUGAGAACAUGCUCAAAAAGUUGGGUUGGAUCCAGACUAAACCAGCAAUUUCCACUGUUUUCUCCUGCCCACUGCAGAUUCCACCUCCACUCCCAUGUCAUUCC